rnacentral:rRNA from 1 species
AGUCGAGGGGUUAGUUCUUCGGAAUUAGAGACCGGCGCACGGGUGCGUAACGCGUAUGCAAUCUACCUUUCACAGAGGGAUAGCCCAGAGAAAUUUGGAUUAAUACCUCAUAGUAUAGUACAACCGCAUGGUUGAACUAUUAAAGUUACAACGGUGAAAGAUGAGCAUGCGUCCCAUUAGCUAGUUGGUAAGGUAACGGCUUACCAAGGCUACGAUGGGUAGGGGUCCUGAGAGGGAGAUCCCCCACACUGGUACUGAGACACGGACCAGACUCCUACGGGAGGCAGCAGUGAGGAAUAUUGGACAAUGGGCGCAAGCCUGAUCCAGCCAUGCCGCGUGCAGGAUGACGGUCCUAUGGAUUGUAAACUGCUUUUGCACAGGAAGAAACAACAUUACGUGUAAUGUCUUGACGGUACUGUGAGAAUAAGGAUCGGCUAACUCCGUGCCAGCAGCCGCGGUAAUACGGAGGAUCCAAGCGUUAUCCGGAAUCAUUGGGUUUAAAGGGUCCGUAGGCGGUUUAGUAAGUCAGUGGUGAAAGCCCAUCGCUCAACGGUGGAACGGCCAUUGAUACUGCUAGACUUGAAUUAUUAGGAAGUAACUAGAAUAUGUAGUGUAGCGGUGAAAUGCUUAGAGAUUACAUGGAAUACCAAUUGCGAAGGCAGGUUACUACUAAUGGAUUGACGCUGAUGG